rnacentral:rRNA from 1 species
AUGAAGAGGGAGGGGUUCCAGCACGGCGCCGUCCGGGUCAACCGCAACAAGCUGCUGCGGGUCGCCGGCGGCACCAACGGCGACGCGGCGGCCGCGGCGCUGGAGCUCGCCGGCGUCGCCUACGCCAGGGCGCCGUCCAAGCCGACCAACGCGUCCAGGGACACGGGCCGGUGCCGGCGGCCCCGGUGCGCCGGCUGCCACGUGCACCCCGCCGCCAAGGCCCGGGACAAGGCCAAGGGCGCCCACAAGCUGCGCGCCUCCGACGUCGCGCUCAACCACCGCCUCGUCUCCUGGCGCCUCGUCGACGGGGACCCCGCCGCCGCCGCCGCCCGCACCGGCGGCGUGCCCGACUACAAGGGCGCCUCCGCGUCCGCCGUGCUCGCCUACCUCGCCGGCGGCAACAGCUGGCACGCCGAGGACGAGGAGGAGGACGAUGACGGCGCAGAUCUUCAGGCCCCCCCAAGGGGGAUCUCCGACCUGUACGACCUCAUCGUCGGCCUCCAGGCCCGCGCGGCCCCUGCGCCGGGCGGCCCAGAAGACGACGCCGAUGGCACGGCAGCAGUAACACCCAGCGAUGAAAUCGAGGAGCACGAUGCUGAAAUCACUGACGACGCCGACGAGGAGGAGGAGGACGACGACGGGUUCUGCGUGGUGCAGGGCAUCACCAUCGCGCUCGAGUUCUCCGACGGGGAGGAGGACUGGAUCGUGGUCUGA